AGGACGAACGCUGGCGGCGUGCUUAACACAUGCAAGUCGAGCGGUAAGGCCUUUCGGGGUACACGAGCGGCGAACGGGUGAGUAACACGUGGGUGAUCUGCCCUGCACUUCGGGAUAAGCCUGGGAAACUGGGUCUAAUACCGGAUAUGACUUCAGGUUGCAUGACGUUGGGGUGGAAAGAUUUAUCGGUGCAGGAGUGGGCCCGCGGCCUAUCAGCUUGUUGGUGGGGUAAUGGCCUACCAAGGCGACGACGGGUAGCCGACCUGAGAGGGUGACCCGGCCA
rnacentral:rRNA from 1 species